GUGUUGGAUGAGUUGGAUGAGAAUGGCUUCGUGUGCAGGUGGAGUCGCCGGACCUCGGUCCCCGCCCAAUUCCGUUCAAGAGCUAAUCUCCAAUCCUUUCGAAAGGAGAAGUUUGGGUCAUUUUGUUCGGGGACAGAACUCAGCUAACAUCUCACAGUUUACCGAAGGUCAACUUUGACAACUAUGAAGCUGUCCUGUCCUUUGUACUUGUCAACAACAACCACUGGAAGUUGCUGUACAUUCAUGCCAAAACCAGCACCGUAUUCCUGGUGGAUCCAGCUCAAAGCAUCAAAGAGCUUGAUGACUCCGAACAUGCUGCCAAAAGAAUACAGGAGCACUUCAGGAUGAGGAGGACACGCCACAGCAUAACAGACUGGGUGGAUGUUAAGUGGAAGGGAGGCGUUAUGGGCCACCCACUUCAAACGGAUGGAUGUAGCUGUGGUGUCGUUGUUGUGAAGAUGAGUGAUUUAAAAGAUGAGGAAGAGGACAAAUCUCCAGUCCCCAGCUAUCUGUCUCUGAAGAGUGACGGGUCUAUGUGGAACCCUCCAAACUUCAGU